GAAAGAAUAAUUCCUAACCACAAAUGACUUGUGUGACAUCAUUAAUCCAAGAUGACCUCCACCAAGUGAAUGGACUCGCAAGUCAACUUGCUAAGGAAUAACUCCACACAAGUCGACAAGACUACGCCAUUCUCCUAUCAUAGGGUGCACUCGAGUUCGGGUACAGAACUCAUCUCACAGAGAUCACCAAGCAAACAAGCAAUCGAUAUAUCAAGCAAUUCAAACA
rnacentral:lncRNA from 1 species